CCUACGGGAGGCAGCAGUGAGGAAUAUUGGGCAAUGGGCGAAAGCCUGACCCAGCCACGCCGCGUGUGUGAUGAAGGCCUUCGGGUCGUAAAGCACUGUGGGGAGAGACGAAACAGCGCAUCAGGAAAUGGGUGCGCCUUGACGGUACCUCCUUAGCAAGCACCGGCUAACUCUGUGCCAGCAGCCGCGGUAAUACAGAGGGUGCAAACGUUGCUCGGAUUUACUGGGCGUAAAGCGCGUGUAGGCGGACUCGCAAGUCGGUUGUGAAAUCCCUGGGCUCAACCUAGGAACUGCAUCCGAAACUGCUUGUCUUGAGUAAUGGAGAGGGUGGCGGAAUUCCCGGUGUAGAGGUGAGAUUCGUAGAUAUCGGGAGGAACAUCAGUGGCGAAGGCGGCCACCUGGACAUUUACUGACGCUGAGACGCGAAAGCGUGGGGAGCAAACAGGAUUAGAUACCCUGGUAGUCCACGCCGUAAACGAUGAGCACUAGGUGCAGCGGAUAUUGACCUCUGCUGUGCCGUAGCUAACGCGUUAAGUGCUCCGCCUGGGGAGUACGGCCGCAAGGCUAAAACUCAAAGGAAUUGACGG
rnacentral:rRNA from 1 species